UUAUCAAAUACCUUAAUGGGAGGCUAUGACUCAGUUAUCUCCAUAACUUUAUCAUUUUAAGGACCUAAUAAUUUUAGAGGAUUUAAAUUUAUCAGUGAUUUAAGGAUAGAAAAGAUAUGGACCAAUUCGCUCCCAUUGACUUCAUCAAGUCAAGUCCUCCCACUGACUUCUCAAGUCAUUAACAAGGACUAGGAUCAAAUUUGGUCCAUGGGCACC
rnacentral:lncRNA from 1 species